rnacentral:rRNA from 1 species
GGGGAAUAUUGGACAAUGGGGGCAACCCUGAUCCAGCAAUGCCGCGUGUGUGAAGAAGGUCUUCGGAUUGUAAAGCACUUUCGACGGGGACGAUGAUGACGGUACCCGUAGAAGAAGCCCCGGCUAACUUCGUGCCAGCAGCCGCGGUAAUACGAAGGGGGCUAGCGUUGCUCGGAAUGACUGGGCGUAAAGGGCGCGUAGGCGGCGGCGUAAGUCAGAUGUGAAAUUCCUGGGCUUAACCUGGGGGCUGCAUUUGAGACUGCGUUGCUAGAGGAUGGAAGAGGCUCGUGGAAUUCCCAGUGUAGAGGUGAAAUUCGUAGAUAUUGGGAAGAACACCGGUGGCGAAGGCGGCGAGCUGGUCCAUUACUGACGCUGAGGCGCGAUAGCGUGGGGAGCAAACAGGA